rnacentral:snRNA from 1 species
GCAUGUGAAGGCGAUCUGGCUGCAACCUCUGUCACCCCAUAGACUGAGAGGGUUAAUCUGGCUGGCCAGGCUGGUGUCCUCUUCCUCUCUCACAGCUCCAUGUGGGUCCUUCCCAAAGCCACAUGCUCUGAUGAGGGGAUGAUCUUCCUGGGUAGAGGAGGCCCGUUCUUUAUCAAGGGUAUACAAGUAGCUGCACUCCUCUGCUAGAACCUUCCAACAAGCUCUCACAUAUUUCUGACUGUGGCACCUUCACUCUACAAAUGUCCCUUGAAUGUGAACUUAAGCAAAGCCGUAUCUCCAGAUGAAUCUAACUUUAGACGCUGUAUGCU